AUACGGAGGGUGCAAGCGUUAAUGGGAAUUACUGGGCGUAAAGCGCGCGUAGGCGGUUUGAUAAGUCGGAUGAGAAAUCCCCGGGCUCAACCUGGGAAGUGCAUUCGAUACUGUCAGGCUAGAGUGUGGUAGAGGGAAGUGGAAUUUCCGGUGUAGCGGUGAAAUGCGUAGAUAGCGGAAGGAACACCAGUGGCGAAGGCGGCUUCCUGGACCAACACUGACGCUGAGGUGCGAAAGCGUGGGGAGCAAACAGGAUUAGAAACCCUAGUAGUCC
rnacentral:rRNA from 1 species